CAGCAAAUGCCACAGGGGCUGCCAAGGUCUACGUGCAGACCAAGCAUAUAUCUGUGGGUGUAAACAAGACUGUCCUGCUGAACAUAAAGUUCUACUCAGCUCUUGUGGAAGGAGUUUGGCCCAGAGCUCCCAAAGGCUGACCUGUGUAUGGGUUUUCUUUGGCAUUUUAUAAAGACUCUGAGGAAUGAAGAGUCUGCUGAAACACAAAGGGUUUGGGUCUUUUCAGCUGCAGCCUUAACAAAAGACCAGAUAUGCUACAGUGGUGAGAUGCAGGAGAAGAAAAGGAAAACUGAGUCACUGGUUGUUAGAAAUGAUGAAAACAACUACUAGGACUUGUUGACAAAGAUCCCUUGGUAGGUAAUGUGCCUUUUCUCUGUGUAGGGGCAAGGCUACAGAUCAUCACAUAGUGUCUUUAAACAAAUCAAUCAGUGAUUUCUUUGUUUUUUGGGUUUUUUUUCAUAUUUUCACAUCUUUUCAGCUAUGAUUUUCUCUCAACAGGGCACUUAUGCCUAGAAUCUGAAUAAGGUGUUGUUUAUCCUGAGGAUCUGGUGUCACAUGUGUUUAAAACCGAAAAUAUGGGCAUUUUGGGAAGAGGACAAUUUAAAAUAGCUCUUUCAUACUAGGUAAAGAAGUGAAAAACCCUUGCCACUCACUGAUCCAGGAAGAGAAGAAUAUCUUUGUACAAAAGUCUGGGAUGGCGUAAUGCAAAAAGUAACCAGUGGUAGGGAAAAAAGAAAGCAGAUAGCUCUCAGAAGAACGUGUGCUGACCAGCCACCAGCUGCCUUUGGAGAGCUGACCAGGCAGCUACAGGCUUGCUGACUUCUUCCAGCACACCACUUCCAUGAAAUAGUUACUGGUUCUGCUUCCCUGUGUUCCCCAUGGCCCCCACAGGGAUCCCUGGAACUGUGUGUGCAUUAUGUGACUCACAGGAUAGAAAAGGCUGGGAAGCUCUGCUUCCCAAUGUUUUUCUGUGUGCUUCCACCUCGGAAGGGUGGUUCUCAGAUGUUCUGCAUGGUUGUGUAGCAGGCAGUUUCAGCCUAUGUUUCCAUUUCCAAGGGACUUCAAAAGAGGAAGAUACUCCCAUUAGUGUUUUGCAUGAUAACAAGUUAGGCAAGCAUCAUUUUUGGAUGCAGUUGAUGGAAGACUGGUUACUGCCACUGCCAAGUGGGCGUCUAAGUUGAGACUAUCAAAUGAUGUCUGUUGUAUUAAAUGCUUUGUUAUGUUUCCGGCUUGGAAAAUGAUGCAUGUGUCAGACAGAGCUUUCUGUUCUGGCAUUAAAGCAAUCUUGGCACCCGUUGGAAACUGUUUACUUUGAAAGUUUAAUUUUAAAUAUAGUUUUGGAACACACUUGGAAAUGUCUGCAAAUCAACAGUAACAGACAGGAGACUAAAGCACUGUUUCCUUAACUCCUGUGUCCUUUGAAAUACCUUAAUCUGCUUUGCUUUGUGUGAGCCGCUUCUGGUUUGUGCAUGAUUUAUUCACACAUUAUUUCUUCCUGAAUUGGACAGUAGCUGAAAGACAGGUAGGAGCCAACAGCACAAAAGAACAUAAUGAACAGCACCAUUUAAAGUAUUUUAGUAUUAUUUAACCCUUUUUUGUGAUAUAUGACUGGUGCAAGGAGAACAUGUUCCACCUUGCUGAGCAGUCAACAGAGACAGCCUGUGUUAGGAUCCUGAAGGGCAUUCUCCAGUCUGCUGCAAAGCCAUUGGACAUGCCAACAUGCAGUGCCAUUAAUUUCCAGCUACCAGAAAGGUUCUUUAGAGUGCCAAGCAUGACGCCAGAAUACAAAACACUUCAUUCAUCAAAGCCAUAAGUAAGAAAUUCUGUGUUUUUGGUUUUUGAAGUAACUUUUGUACAUUUAUGACUUUUUCCACAUUAAGCAUCAUUUAUGGUUUGGAAAUUGUUCAGGCAAGAGGCAUGUGGUUUCUGCUCCUGAAUAUCAGCAGCAGUUUUGCUAGGUUCAGUCUCUAUUUUUUGUUGACAUUUUCUUGGCUUUUCAUUUAUCUUUAGGGUGGACGUUUUUGGAGCAAACUGCCUCAAGGAGAGCCCAUAACCUUCUUUCUAAAUGUAGACUAAGUGAUCUGCGUAAGGUGAAGAAGAUUACUUUGGUAUAGGGAAUUUGGGUUCACAGCCAGAUUUUUGCAAAGUACCUGGUGAAGAAAUACCUUUUCUGGGAUGUUCUCUCAUCAGAACAACUGCUGGAACAAAUUGAGAAGUAGGAAUUUUACACCUGCACUAUGAGACAUAAGUUGAUAGGUUUUUCCAUAGGCAAUGUGAGAAGUUACCGAGUAGCAGUUGAAUUUUCAGUUAAUUCUAUUUGUGCUGAAUGAAUGGUAAAGGGCUACCUCAAGAUCUUGGUUUGUGAGCUAGGAAAUAUAUAAAUUACAAAUUGUAUGGAGAUUUCAAGACCCUCCUUUUUCAGGCCUUUCAAUGCAUAAUUGUCACAUUUCAAGGGAGAGUGGAUGAAAUUACAUAAAUAUGUUCUCUGUGUGCAUCAAAGCAGAGGUGACUGCAUGAAUUGGAUGUGCUUUUGUUCCUGCAGCAAUUUGGAUUCUUGUGUUACUUCUUUCUUUAGCUGACCAGGAAGGACAGAAUUUAGAAACGAAUGCUGGUUUUUGCCUCUCUGUAUUCAAAGCUCUGUCCAAAAGAACAAUGUGUAAAUGCUCUGUGAGGGUCCAGUUCUGCUCCUUGCCGAGUCCAGUUACUCCACUGAGUUGUGACAAACAAAUGCUUCAGGGUGUCUGGAUGCAGUGACAGGUGCUACAGUGCACAGACUCUGAGAGCUGUGGCAAGCUCUAAAUAAAUGCCUUUGUAAUUCUGGGGUUUAUAAGAACCUAAAAAUUUCCCAGCUGGGCCACACCACUGGGGUGCUCCCACCCAGCCACAGGUUUUGUCUCUAGAAAGGGUAGCAGGAGAUGCUAUUUAGAGGCAGUUUGCAGGUGCUGACUCAUAUCUGUCCAGAGAAGCUCCUGUUGUCCUCUUCCCAGAAUCUCUGCUCUGGAGCUUUGUGUUUCAGUUGCCCCUGAGGAUUAGAGACCCCUUUUCUGUCAUCAUGUGGGAUAGCAGACAGAGGGAGUCCUUGCUGUCUUUCCUGAGGUGUACUACCAAGAAAAAGGGCCCUGAAUGGAGGUCUAAUAUUAUUUUCCUGCUCCUGCUUGAAUGAGGAAUGAAUAAAGACAUACCUUACGAUAUAUUAGUGGAGUUUUCUUCACUCUUUGGCCCUUUGCAUCAUGGCCCAGUAACUUCCAGUGCUGGGUGCCUCUGUCUCUGUUCUACUGCAGUGAUCUUUGAGACUGAAGUUUGUGAAAGUUCCCUCCGGCAACAGCCCAUGGAAAGCUGCCUGGAACAUACAGCAAAUAAUGCCUAGAACCUCUGGAAUUUAGGAUAGAAGCCUGCUUGGAGGGAAAAAAUGUUGCA